CCUACGGUGAGCAGCAGUGAGGAAUAUUGGUCAAUGGACGCAAGUCUGAACCAGCCAUGCCGCGUGCAGGAAGACGGCUCUAUGAGUUGUAAACUGCUUUUGUACGAGGGUAAACGCAGAUACGCGUAUCUGUCUGAAAGUAUCGUACGAAUAAGGAUCGGCUAACUCCGUGCCAGCAGCCGCGGUAAUACGGAGGAGUCAAGCGUUAUCCGGAUUUAUUGGGUUUAAGGGGUGCGUAGGCGGUCGGAUAAGUUAGAGGUGAAAUCCCGAGGCGCAACUUCGGAAUUGCCUCUGAGACUGUUCGGCUAGAGAGUAGUUGCGGUAGGCGGAAUGUAUGGUGCAGCGGUGAAAUGCUUAGAGAUCAUACAGAACACCGAUUGCGAAGGCAGCUUACCAAGCUACUUCUGACGUUGAGGCACGAAAGCGUGGGGAGCAAACAGGAUUAGAUACCCUUGUAGUC
rnacentral:rRNA from 1 species